rnacentral:rRNA from 1 species
AUUGAACGCUGGCGGCAUGCCUUACACAUGCAAGUCGAACGGUAACAGGUCUUCGGAUGCUGACGAGUGGCGAACGGGUGAGUAAUGCAUCGGAACGUGCCCAGUUGUGGGGGAUAACUGCUCGAAAGAGCAGCUAAUACCGCAUACGACCUGAGGGUGAAAGCGGGGGAUCGCAAGACCUCGCGCAAUUGGAGCGGCCGAUGUCAGAUUAGGUAGUUGGUGGGGUAAAGGCCUACCAAGCCGACGAUCUGUAGUUGGUCUGAGAGGACGACCAGCCACACUGGGACUGAGACACGGCCCAGACUCCUACGGGAGGCAGCAGUGGGGAAUUUUGGACAAUGGGCGCAAGCCUGAUUCAGCAAUGCCGCGUGCAGGAAGAAGGCCUUCGGGUUGUAAACUGCUUUUGUCAGGGAAGAAAUCCUCUGGGUUAAUACCCCGGGGGGAUGACGGUACCUGAAGAAUAAGCACCGGCUAACUACGUGCCAGCAGCCGCGGUAACAC